rnacentral:rRNA from 1 species
ACAGGGAUUGCCCUAGUAACGGCGAGUGAAGCGGCAACAGCUCAAAUUUGAAAUCUGGCGUCUUUGGCGUCCGAGUUGUAAUUUGCAGAGGGCGCUUUGGCAUCGGCAGCGGUCCAAGUUCCUUGGAACAGGACGUCACAGAGGGUGAGAAUCCCGUACGUGGUCGCUAGCCUUUACCGUGUAAAGCCCCUUCGACGAGUCGAGUUGUUUGGGAAUGCAGCUCUAAAUGGGAGGUAAAUUUCUUCUAAAGCUAAAUACUGGCCAGAGACCGAUAGCGCACAAGUAGAGUGAUCGAAAGAUGAAAAGCACUUUGGAAAGAGAGUUAAAAAGCACGUGAAAUUGUUGAAAGGGAAGCGCUUGCAGCCAGACUUGCCUGUAGUUGCUCAUCCGGGUUUCUACCCGGUGCACUCUUCUAUAGGCAGGCCAGCAUCAGUUUGGGCGGUUGGAUAAAGGUCUCUGUCAUGUACCUCUCUUCGGGGAGAACUUAUAGGGGAGACGACAUGCAACCAGCCCGGACUGAGGUCCGCGCAUCUGCUAGGAUGCUGGCGUAAUGGCUGUAAGCGGCCCGUCUUGAAACACGGACCAAGGAGUCUAACAUCUAUGCGAGUGUUUGGGUGUCAAGCCCGAGCGCGUAAUGAAAGUGAACGGAGGUGGGAACCUUUCGGGGUGCACCAUCGACCGAUCCUGAUGUCUUCGGAUGGAUUUGAGUAAGAGCAUAGCUGUUGGGACCCGAAAGAUGGUGAACUAUGCUUGAAUAGGGUGAAGCCAGAGGAAACUCUGGUGGAGGCUCGCAGCGGUUCUGACGUGCAAAUCGAUCGUCAAAUUUGGGCAUAGGGGCGAAAGACUAAUCGAACUAUCUAGUAGCUGGUUCCUGCG